CCUACGGGGGGCAGCAGUGGGGAAUAUUGGACAAUGGGCGAAAGCCUGAUCCAGCCAUGCCGCGUGUGUGAAGAAGGCCUUCGGGUUGUAAAGCACUUUCAGUGGGGAAGAAAGCCUUGGGGCUAAUACCCUCGAGGAAGGACAUCACCCACAGAAGAAGCACCGGCUAACUCCGUGCCAGCAGCCGCGGUAAUACGGAGGGUGCGAGCGUUAAUCGGAAUUACUGGGCGUAAAGCGCGCGUAGGCGGUCUGAUAAGCCGGUUGUGAAAGCCCCGGGCUCAACCUGGGAACGGCAUCCGGAACUGUCAGGCUAGAGUGCAGGAGAGGAAGGUAGAAUUCCCGGUGUAGCGGUGAAAUGCGUAGAGAUCGGGAGGAAUACCAGUGGCGAAGGCGGCCUUCUGGACUGACACUGACGCUGAGGUGCGAAAGCGUGGGUAGCAAACAGGAUUAGAUACCCUUGUAGUC
rnacentral:rRNA from 1 species